GCGGUUGUAGCUCAGUUGGUAGAGCGUCAGCUUCCCAAGCUGGAUGUCGCGGGUUCGACCCCCGUCAACCGCUCAA
rnacentral:tRNA from 1 species